AUUCAUUUCCCAAAAAAAUUUUAUUUUCAUUAUUUGAAAAACAAAAAAGUUACUUUGUACGUAAAAUAAUUACACAAAGUGAACCAACAGAAAAGUGUACGAGUGCCUAACACUUCAGUCUUCCACUACAAGUCAUCAGUGGAUGACUCAAUGUUAAACAUGAUAAAUACCUACAUUCCUUUAUGUUUUAAUGUCACUAUCAUUUCGACAUUCUACAAAGAAAACAAUUAAUUACAUACUCAAAUAAUUGCACAUUUUCCACAAAAACAAAUAUUGAAAGCUGUGGUAGAAACAUUAUCAAGAGAUAGGACAAGACAAUAACAAUGCCCUAAAGCUAGAAGAAAGAGACACUGUUUAGUGUGAUAAAGCUGUGCUGAGCAUCAGUCUCUUUCAAAGGGGUUGGGGGGGGGGGGAUGG